rnacentral:rRNA from 1 species
CUCAGAUUGAACGCUGGCGGCAGGCCUAACACAUGCAAGUCGAGCGGAAACGAGUUAUCUGAACCUUCGGGGAACGAUAACGGCGUCGAGCGGCGGACGGGUGAGUAAUGCCUAGGAAAUUGCCCUGAUGUGGGGGAUAACCAUUGGAAACGAUGGCUAAUACCGCAUGAUGCCUACGGGCCAAAGAGGGGGACCUUCGGGCCUCUCGCGUCAGGAUAUGCCUAGGUGGGAUUAGCUAGUUGGUGAGGUAAGGGCUCACCAAGGCGACGAUCCCUAGCUGGUCUGAGAGGAUGAUCAGCCACACUGGAACUGAGACACGGUCCAGACUCCUACGGGAGGCAGCAGUGGGGAAUAUUGCACAAUGGGCGCAAGCCUGAUGCAGCCAUGCCGCGUGUGUGAAGAAGGCCUUCGGGUUGUAAAGCACUUUCAGUCGUGAGGAAGGUGGUGUAGUUAAUAGCUGCAUUAUUUGACGUUAGCGACAGAAGAAGCACCGGCUAACUCCGUGCCAGCAGCCGCGGUAAUACGGAGGGUGCGAGCGUUAAUCGGAAUUACUGGGCGUAAAGCGCAUGCAGGUGGUUUGUUAAGUCAGAUGUGAAAGCCCGGGGCUCAACCUCGGAAUAGCAUUUGAAACUGGCAGACUAGAGUACUGUAGAGGGGGGUAGAAUUUCAGGUGUAGCGGUGAAAUGCGUAGAGAUCUGAAGGAAUACCGGUGGCGAAGGCGGCCCCCUGGACAGAUACUGACACUCAGAUGCGAAAGCGUGGGGAGCAAACAGGAUUAGAUACCCUGGUAGUCCACGCCGUAAACGAUGUCUACUUGGAGGUUGUGGCCUUGAGCCGUGGCUUUCGGAGCUAACGCGUUAAGUAGACCGCCUGGGGAGUACGGUCGCAAGAUUAAAACUCAAAUGAAUUGACGGGGGCCCGCACAAGCGGUGGAGCAUGUGGUUUAAUUCGAUGCAACGCGAAGAACCUUACCUACUCUUGACAUCCAGAGAACUUUCCAGAGAUGGAUUGGUGCCUUCGGGAACUCUGAGACAGGUGCUGCAUGGCUGUCGUCAGCUCGUGUUGUGAAAUGUUGGGUUAAGUCCCGCAACGAGCGCAACCCUUAUCCUUGUUUGCCAGCGAGUAAUGUCGGGAACUCCAGGGAGACUGCCGGUGAUAAACCGGAGGAAAGUGGGGACGACGUCAAGUCAUCAUGGCCCUUACGAGUAGGGCUACACACGUGCUACAAUGGCGCAUACAGAGGGCGGCCAACUUUGCGAAGUGAGCGAAUCCCCAAAAGUGCGUCGU